GAUGAACGCUGGCGGCGUGCCUAAUACAUGCAAGUCGAGCGAAUGAAGAGGAGCUUGCUCCUCUGAUUUAGCGGCGGACGGGUGAGUAACACGUGGGUAAUCUGCCUGUAAGACGGGGAUAACUCCGGGAAACCGGGGCUAAUACCGGAUAAUAAAAAGAAACGCAUGUUUCUUUUUUGAAAGUUGGUUUCGGCUAACACUUACAGAUGAGCCCGCGGCGCAUUAGCUAGUUGGUGAGGUAACGGCUCACCAAGGCGACGAUGCGUAGCCGACCUGAGGGGGUGAUCGGCCACACGGGGACUGAGACACGGCCCAGACUCCUACGGGAGGCAGCAGUAGGGAAUCUUCGGCAAUGGGCGAAAGCCUGACCGAGCAACGCCGCGUGAGCGAUGAAGGCCUUCGGGUCGUAAAGCUCUGUUGUUAGGGAAGAACACGUACGAGAGUAACUGCUCGUACCUUGACGGUACCUAACCAGAAAGCCACGGCUAACUACGUGCCAGCCGCCGCCGCGG
rnacentral:rRNA from 1 species